CAUAAUUAUAAUCUUUUGCCUUCAAACUUCGUUGCAUGGGGUCAAUUUCAGCAAGUGCACCAUCGUCACCAGUGAAUUGUUUUAAGCAAAAAUUGUAGACUUCUUUUGCCUUAGGAUCAGUGGUUUUUGCAAUCAAAGUGUUGAGAAGGUUUACUGUGUUUUUAAGCUUUGAACGAAUCACUUCAAUUGUGUAGUGUGCUAAGGAAUCAACGUCUGCUCUUGCUGCACCACCGGGUAUUGAGUUUAGAAGAUUUGAACAAUAUGCAAAAAUUUUAGUUUGCUUGCAAAUUUCUUCUACUUUCACAAUUUUUUGUGCAUUGGAAGUUGCAUCAAAUAAAAGGAAGGCAAAAACUAAGGUUAAAAUCAAGGAAUAUGGUCUGACAUUGUUACCAUUGAAAUGACAAGCCAUGGUGUAUAUGUUAAUUUCAACGUUUUAUUUUUGUUGUAAUUGUUGGGUUUGAUAUGAGUUCUUAUAUAUAGUUGUAUAUGAUGGAUAUUCCAUAUUUAGAUUAGAGGAGUGUUAGAGCCACUAAAAUUUGUGAUUUGUAGUCAUUAAUUAGUUAUCAUUGGUAUUUUUAAUGAUGUGAGAUUACUCAUUUUUUUUUGUUGAUUAAGUACUGGCCAAAUUUUAAUAUAUAAAAAUAUUGGUCUAAAAAUUAAUACAAUACACUAUUAUAAUUAUAAAUAGAGUAACUAAAAUAUGAGUAUUGUAAAAUUAUUAAAUUUUUUGUCCAAUCCUAUCUAUUAUUCAAAAUUUCAGUUUUCAUGAUUUAAUUUCCAUUAAAUCGGGGACUGGAGACUGGACCCUUCCUUGCCUUGGACUGAGAAUUCAUGCUCCGAGGGACAUCGAAGACUUGGAACUAACUCAAUUAAAUAUCAUAAUUGAUUCUUUCUACAAAUAGAAUUUCUAAUUGGUUGCAUUUUUAUUUUGAGUAAUUAUCUAAAUUGGUCCAAUGAAUUUUAAAGUGGAUAUUUUAGUCCAAAAAAAUUUAAUAAACAGAUCAAUUUUCAAGGUUUUACUCCAGAUAAAUCAGUCUCUGAUUUAUUUUUUGGUAAAGUUUUGGAAGUGAAUAUUUUAGUUCCUAAAGAAAAUAAACAUACAGAUCAAUCCCUAAUUUUUUUUCUGUCAGACAUAACAGUCUUUCAUCCAAAAAAAUUUAUUUGAUAUUUUGUAUUUAAUAUAAUCAAAAGAUGUCUUAUUUUAAAAAAAUAUAUUUAAUUUGUAUUAAAAAAUAUUUUAAUUUAGAUUUCAAAGUAUCAUUAUUUAUCUUACUUUUUUUCUAACGAAAAGAGUUUAUUAAUAUGUUAGUGUCGUCAUAUCCACAUGCACAAAACUAAGUUAAUAAUAAUAAAGGUCGAUAUAUAGUAAAAGUAAAAUGGACGGGAACUGUUAUGUCUGACGUUAGAAAUUGAUCUGUGUAUUAAUUUUUUUGGGAACUAAAAUAUCUAUUUUUAAAAUUCUUGUGGACUGAUAUAAAUAAUUACUCUGUCAAAAAAUGAACUAAUCUGUCUAAAACCUUAAAAAUUAAUCUAUAUAUUACUUUUUCUUGAGAACUAAAAAAUUUGCUUUUAAAAUUCUUAGAAACUAAUUUAGAUAAUUACUCUCUUGUUUUUCAAUUAUAUAUAUAUCCUAACUAAUUUUUCAGUUGAAUGAAUAUAAAUAAUAUGGAGCCAAUUCAAAUAUAUUCAUAUCAAAUCACCCCAUUAAAAUUUUGACCAACACAAUUUAAUGAUAUCGUAACCAACACUAUUUAAUGAUAUCAUAAUGGUCGAGGAAUUAAAGUUGCACAAUAAAUAUAAUUAAUAAUUUUAAUCAUUAAUUAUAUUACAUAUAAAAAUAAUAUAUUUAGAUUUUGAAAAAAAAUUGAUAACCAAAAUUUUUUUUUAUCAUAAUAAAAUGACAUUAUAUUAAGGAAAAAGUUUGGUAACAAAAAAUUUUUAGCCAUAAUUAGUUAAAACUUUCCAUAAUUUACUUCAUUUAUAUAACUUAAUAAUAUUUUAAUUUUCUAUUUCACUCUUUUAUCAAUCUACUUAUCAUAUUCUUAUCAGCCCACUUAUUAAUGAUAUUAAUUAUAAUAUCAUAUCCCUAAUUAUUAGACAUUCUUGUAAUCACUAUUUAAUAUUUCCUUUUAUAAUUUGAAUGUUAUAUUUAAGAAUACAAUAAAGACUAAUAACAAUUAAAAACAGUAAUAAUAAUAUUCAUUAAAUAAUUUUAAUUGUAAUUGAUUUUUAAUUUUUUUAUUUAAUUUAUUAUCAUUCGAAGAGUUAGCAAAUGUAAAAGCCUUGUUUAAUAGGUUUAUCAUUGUUAGAAGAAUAAUGAAGGUUGUAUACUCUUUCAAAGGCCAAAAAUCACAACUCUAGUUCAAUUACAAGUACAGUUGGGAUAGGCAAAAAUUUUUUUUUUUGAAACAAAGGAGCUCAACACAUUAAAGUGGAGCAAACAGAACUAGAUAACAAAAAAAAAUAGAAAAUAAAAAAUCGAAAAAACACAAGACAACUCCCAAGUCAUCUCCGGCAUCGCCAUCAACAACAAAAGGAAUCCACACCUUUCCAUUCGUUAUUGCUACGCAAGAUCAAGUUGAUAUUUUCUUCUACACCCUUGCUUUGAUUCUGAAAAAUUCUUCUAUUUCUUUCCAACAAAAGAUUCCAAACUAUUGCACAGAAGCACAUCAACCACUGUUUAUGAUCCUCUUUUUCAUACGGUUCUUCGGUCCAGCUAAGAAAAUAGUCCUUUAUUGAACCCGAAAAAGACCACUGUCGGCCAAACACAGCUAUCCACGCACACCACACCUGCUAAGAAAACUCACAGCCAAAAAAUAAGUGAUGGACUCGUUCCACAUCCUUAUUACAUAAAACGCAUCCAAUAUCUUCCUGACUAAUUAUCCCGAACCGACUUAGUCUUUCCUUAGUAUUUACCCUCUCUACCAAGACAAACUAAGUAAACAGCUCCACUCUUGGGAGGGGACUACGCCUUUUCAGAUGGUCUUAGUGAAGUUGUAACUGAAUAUAUCCUCCGGCAAGAAUUCCACCUGCAAGACUUGCACAAAUGAGUUAGUCGAAAAAAUACCUUGCCUAUCAUAUUUUCACACAACUCUAUCCUCUCUGUUAUUUACUAGCUUCACAGGUCGCAAAGCCUCAAGUAAUUGACCCAGAAGGUCCAACUCCCACUGAAAAAGCUCUCUCCUCCAUUGGAAGUUCCAAAUCUACUCUAACCCAUCCCAAAAGCCACCCUAAUCCCCUAUAACCAAUCCACAUUGGUUUGAAACAGAGAGCAGCCUGGGAAACCGAUCCUUCAACGAUCUACAAUGUAACCAUACAUCCUCCCAAAACCGAGUCCGCCUCCCAUCACCAACCUCCAUGGACAAGCCUGUAAUCAUCUUAUCUCUUAUAUGGUGCUCCUUGAUUUGGAUAAUAUGACAUUUAACCCGAUGAGAUUGUUGUCAGUCAACCAAUUUUCGAGAAUAUAGAAAACUACACUAACUUUGAUGAGUUAUGGUAAUAAAUGGAUUUAAUUUUUUUUAUUUUUAUGCGCAUUUAUAAUUAUACUGUACUAACUAAGUUCAUACACAUAAUAUUCAUAAGUUCAUAUACAUAACACUUAUAAUUACAUACAACUAACAUCUAAAAAUUAAAGAUUUAAUUACUCUGUUGGUCCCUAUAGUUUCGCGAAAUUUUCAACUAGGUCCCUAUACUUUUUUCCUUUCAAUUGGGUCCCUAUACGUUAUUUUUUUUCAAUUUAGUCCCUACCGUCAUAAAACCGUUUGAAAUAACAGAAUAUUCCAUCAAAAAAUCGAAUAUUCUCAUAAUUUGGUUAAAAAACCUAAUUAAAAACAUCUCUAUUUUUUUGAAAUACCAAAAAUACCGUUUAUAUUUUGUCCCCCAAAAUCAGAGAACUCUAACUACCCCUAAGUUAUUCUCCUAAGUUCCCAAUUAGAUUUCUCCUCCGUCGCACUCUGCUGUCUUCCAUGGCGUCGUCGUCGUCCGUCGCUGGGUGGUCGUCGUCCCUCUGCGUCGCCCACGGGUGCUCUGUUCUGCUCUGCUCGUCCGCCUUGCCUAUUGCAUCCCCUCAUCCCACCUUGCCUCACCGUGCCUCGGGUGCCUUGUCUCGAAUUGUCGCUCCUCGACUAUGUUUUGCUGUCUAGACUGGUUCUGCAACAACAGUGAUGAUUGAAUUUUAUUUUAGUUUUUCAACUGUUGGAUCAGAGGAGAUGAAGGGACCAGGUGGCAUGUGGGAAAGAAACCAGUCAGAUGACUUUCAUUUGUUUGAAUUGCAAAGAUCGGGAGUAGAAUGAACAUGUGGGUUUCUGUCAGCGUUGGGUAAUAAUUCUUCUCAAUAAUGUCUUCCUCCCACUACACUAAGAACGGGAGAAAUGUUAUGAUUAAAACAACUAGUAGUCAAAUGGCAUCCUCUCCCGAUUCUAAUGCUUCAGGUACAAUGUUGAGAAAUCUUGAUUGUUAAAUUCCUCUAAUUUUGCUUAUGCUUAUUUUUGGUUGCUGCUUGUAUGUAAUUUGACUUUAUUUGAUUAGGUAACCAGCAUCCUGAAUGAUAAGGAGAACCAAUUGAUCUAGUUGUGAAGCUUAGUUUGCUAAAAUUAGUUUUGAUUGUGCCAAAAAAUUUUGAUUAUGAGUUCUGAUUAUGUAUUUUAUCUGUAAUUAAUUAAUUAUGUUAGAAAUAAGAAAAGAGGUGAGAUUGGAGAUAAGGUGUUUGAUUAAAUGCUUUUGAGAGAGUUGAAUUGAUUAUGAGUUCUGAUUAUGUAUUUUAUCUAUUAUUAAUUGAUUAUGAGUUUAAUUGAUCAUUGUCAUAGAGGCAUACAGGACUCUCAGAGAUUAUGGUCCUUAUCCUGCUACCAGGUUGUGAGAGAUUUCCAAGGCAAAUUUGCGGUUUAUUCCAUUUGACAGUGGUUCUAAAACUGCGUUUAUUGCUGCAGUGAGUAAUCCUUGGUCUAUCUAUUUCCAAGGCAAACUUGUGGCUGCAGUGGCUUCUUCCGAUUGACUUGUUGCAGUUGAAGGGAAUUUUGGAUUCGGAUUUAGUGCCAUUGAAGUUGAGGUAUAUACUGCUGAACACAUACUUAUGUUUAUCUAUUUAAUUGCCCUUCCAUUGUGUUAUGUGGAUUGAUGUCCUUAUCUUUAGUUAUAUUUUCAUCAUCAUAUAAUAGAAUGGUUUUUAUUUUAGUCUAUACAUUAUUGUUAACUAACAACUAGAAUUAAGAUCUUAUAUGAGUGUCUUGCCAUGCCGGAGUGUUCUUUCACUAUGAGUGUCUUGCCAGGAUCCAUCCAAAGGAGGUGGAACUUGUGGAUUUGAUAUAUAGACAGAGAGUUUCAUGUGCCUUUGUGAGAAUGAAAAUUCCACUACUCAUUGCAAAGGUAUCUUACAACCUCAAUAAUAUAAUUCUGCCCUUUUAGUAAAGUAAUGAUCAUGAAUUGGAUUUUGUAUGUUAUUUUACAGAUUAUAAUGUUGCACAGCACAAUACGAGGGCACAUGUAAUUGCAGGUUGUUACUGCCAAUUGAAGUGGUGUAUUAAUUAUUGUUCAUAGCAAACUUUUUCAAGUUGAAAAUGAGGGUAAUGUGUUGUGUCUGCAGGAACAAUAACUGGCAUUUUGAUUUCUGGGGCAUUUGGAAUUGAAGCAGGUAUCUGGUACUUGAAGAAAGUGAGAGCUAAAGCAUCAGUAACAUGUGAAGUCCAAAGCAAUGAGAACAUACUCUUCUAUCUGAUAUAUAAUUCCUUCUUUAGAAAAAGUUACGUUAAUAAAUUCUUUAUCUUGUUGUAUUGUAUAAAAUUUGAUUUGUUAUAUUUUUGGGGAUAAUUUUGACAAUUUAUUUUAUAUAUAUUUAUUACUAUUAUUUCUGUUUCAUUUUAUCCGAUCCCUUUUUUUAGUAUGUUCUUAAGAUAAGAUAUUUUGAAAGUUAAAAAAAAAGAGAAAGAUAUGCUUUGUUCUAUCACCUUUGAUGUAUCCACAUUUAAGUUGAGUAAUGCAUGCUAUAUUAUCUUCAAACAGAACAGUUGGAGCUAUCUUAUGAUCAAUCAGUCCACAUGAUGACAGAAUAUAUUGGAUCAUAUUCCUGAGCAAAAAACACUCGCGACUAGCUUCAUGUAUCGCUAGUAUUUCAGCUUGAUUAAAGGAUGUUGCCGCAAUCGUCUGUUUUGUGGACCUCCAUGAUAUAACUGUACUACCAUAUGUGAACAGGUAUCCUGUUUAAGAUCUCUCUUUGUGUGGAUCAAACAAGUAUCAUGCAUCUGCAUAGCCAACUAGUUGUGACUUGGAUCCAUAGGGAUAAAACAAUCCCAUAUCAACCGUUCCAUGAAAAUAUCGAAAAAUUUGUUUGAUUCCAUUCAAUGUCUUCUGGUUGGAGAGGAACUAUACCUUACUAGUAAAUUUACUGCAAAUGAUAUGUCAGGUCGUGUAUUAUUAGCAGGAUACAUUAGCUCUCCAAUAGCACUAAGAUAUGGUACUUCAGGACAAAGGAUAUCUUCAUUUUCUUCUUUAGGACGGAAUUGAUCCUUUUCCACAUGCGAAGAUCUUACGGUCAUUGGGGUACUUAAUGGAUGCGACUUAUCCAUAUAAAAUCUCUUCAAGAUCUUUUUUGUGUAUGUUGUUUGAUGAAUAAAUAUCCCAUUUUUUGUAUGCUCGAUCUGCAGGCUGAGACAAAAUUUAGUCUUUCCAAGAUCUUUCAUCUCGAAAUCUUCUUUUAGAGUUUUUAUAAUUGUUGGAAUCUCUUCAGGAGUUCCAAUGAUAUUUAAAUCAUCAACAUACACAACAAUGAUAAUGAAUUCAGAUGCAGAUUUCUUUAUAAAAAUACAUUGGCAGAUAUCAUCAUUCUUGAAUCCGUUUUUGGACAGAUACUCAGUAAGAUGAUUAUACCACAUUCGUCCAAAUUGCUUUAGACCAUAAAGAUCUUUGCAAUUUGAUGAGUAUAACUCUUGUGAAUAUUCAUUGGAUGGUUUAGAUAUCUUUAGUCCUUCAGGGACUUUUAUAUAAAUAUCACGAUCUAAUGAUCCAUAUAAGUAGGUUGUUACCACAUCCAUUAAAUGUAUAUACAGUUUAUGAUAUGUAGAUAAACUGACCAAAUAACGCAAUGUUAUCACAUCCACAACAGGGAAAUAUGUUUCUUCAUAAUUUAUACCGGGCCUUUGUGAGGAACUUUGUGCUACAAGUCGAGCUUUGUAGUGUACAACUUCAUUUUUUCACUUCAUUUUCUCACAAAUACCCACCUGUAUCCAACAGGUUUUACAUCUUUUGGUGUAUAGACUACAGGUCCAAAGACUUCACGUUUUGCAAGUGAGUCUAACUCAGCCUUCAUAGCUUCUUUCCAUUUUGGCCAAUCAUUCCUUUGUCGACAUUCCUUGACUAUUCUUGGCUCAAGAUCCUUACUUUCAAGCAUGAUAUUUAAUAAUGACACAUUAUAUGCAAAUAUUUCAUUGACAAUUGUCUUAUUUCAGUCCCAUGUUUCUCCUGUAAAGACAUAAUUUAUCGAGAUCUCGUCAUUUUCACAAUUUUCAGGUACCUGAACGUCUUCUGGUGUCAAAAUUAUAUCAAAAUUUUAGACAACUGCAUGCGUCUUUACUAUGUCUUUUUUAACAGGAAUAGUAUUUACCUCUUUUCUUUUUCGAGAAUUUUUGUCUUUGGAACCGACGGGUCUACCACGCUUCUGGUGUGAAUUUAUUUUAGUGGCCACUUAUUCAACUGGGACAUCAAUUCGAAUUGGGACAUUUUCUGCUGGUAUAUAAGAUUUGGUUAUUCUCUUUGUAUCAGAAAAUAUAUCAGGCAAUUCAUUUUCUAUUCUUUGCAAAUGUAUAAUCUUUUGAACUUCUAGUUCACAUUGUCCCGAUCGAGGAUCUAAAUGUAUCAAGGAUGAUGCAUUCCGAUUAAGUUUCUUUUCAAGAAGCUUAUUCUCUCUCUCUAAUGUUGAAAAUUUUGAUUCAUCAAAAUGACAAUUUGCAAAUCGAACUUUAAAUACAUCUCCAUUUUGUACCUCAAGAUACCUCACUAUAGAGGGAGAAUCAUAUCCAACAUAUAUAUCCAAUUUUCUUUGAGAUCCCAUUUUUGUGCAAGAAGGUGGUGCAAUGGGAACAUAUAUCGCACACCCAAAUAUUCUUAAAUGGGAAACAUUUUACUGCUGACCAAAAGCUAAUUGUAUAGGAGAGAAUUGAUGGUAACUUAUUGACCUUAAAUGAAUAAGUGCCGCGACAUGUAAAAUAGCAUGCCCCAAGCCGAUGUUGGGAGAUUUGUUUUCAUAAGUAAGGGUCUAGCAAUUAAUUGGAGGUGUUUAAUAAGUGAUUCUGCUAACCCAAUUUGUGUGUAAACAUGAGCUACUAGAUGUUCAACGCUUAUUCCGUUAGCCAUAAUAUAAGCAUUAAAGGCUUGGGAAGCCAAUUCACCAACAUUAUCAAGAUGAAUUGCUUUGAUUGGAUUUUCUGGAAACUGUGCUUUUAAUUGAAUAAUUUGAGCAAGUAAUAUCGCAAACGCCAGGUUGCAAGAAGACAAUAAAUACACAUGUAACCAUCUUAAAGAUGCGUUUAUUAAGACCAUAAAAUAUCUAAAAGAUCCACAUGGUGGAUGAAUAGGUCCACAUAUAUUGCCUUGAAUCCUUUCUAGGAAUUCACGAGACUCAAAUCCAAUCUUUACUGGUGAUGACCUUAAAAUGAACUUUUCUUAAGAACAUGAAGCACAACAAAAUUCACUAGAUUUAAGAAUCUUACUGGUUCUUUAGUAAAUGUUCAUAAGAAUUUUCAAUAAUUCUCCGCAUCAUGGUUGUUCCUGGAUGACCCAAUCGAUCAUGCAAAGUUAUGAAUUUAUUUGGGCUAGUAAUCUUCUGGUUUACAAUGUCAUGUGAUUCAAUUGCACUAAUUUUGGUAUAAUAUAACCCAGAUGAAAGUGAGGGUAACUUUUCUAAUAUAACCUUUUUAUUUAAAUCAUAAGUUGUGAUACAUGAAUACUCAUGAUUUCUCCCAUUCAUUGUUUCAAUAUGAUAUCUAUUUCGGCGAAUAUCUUUGAAACUCAACAAGUUUCUUAGAGACUUGGCAGACAAUAGUGCAUUAUUUAUUAUGAAUUUUGUUCCUUUGGGAAACAAAAUUAUAGCUCUUCCGGAGCCUUCUAUCACAUUGUCUGAGACAAUAAUAGUAUUAACAUAUUCUUCUUUUGGCAUGAGAUGAGUAAAAUAUAUAUUACUUUUGAGAAUAGUAUGCGAACUUGCACUAUCCACAAGGCAAACAUCUUCACUAUAUAUCCUUGCCAUUUUCUUCAAAGACAAAUAAUAAUAAUAAUAAUAAUAUGAGUAGAAGUAUAUGCGCAUAAAAUUAUUUUGUUGACUAUUUUUCUAAGAAAUGCUGUACAUAGUAUUAUAUACUAAAAAUUUUAUUAUUAUUAUUUUAGAAUUUGGCACAUUUAGUAAUUUUGAAAUUCAUAAAUAUUUUAUUAUACAUCAUAUUUAAAAUUCAGAUGCAUAGAAAAUAAAACUUAAUAAUAAAUUUCUUACAUUAUUUAUUUACAUGAAUACUUAACAAUCCCACAUAUUAAACUAUUCCAUCGUUGAUCAAAUUACCAAUAUUUUCUUUAAGAUCUUCAAAGAAAUCAGAUACAUCAUAAUGAGUGGUAGAAUUUUCAACAUCAUGUGUAACAAAAUUCGUCUCCUUUCCUUUGUUGUUCUUUUUCAAAGAUGCUUGAUAAAAAUUGACUAAGUGCCUUGGGAUACGACAGGCGCACGACCAAUGGCCCUUUCCACCACAAUGGAAAUAUGUAUCCUCUGUUGAUUUAUUUUGCGUAGUGUUUUUUUAUUUAUCCCACUUUUGAUGAGAUCCUUUCUUGUGAACAUAACUCUUCUUCCUUCCAUAAUUUUUCUUGUUACUAAAAUCUUGCCAUUUACCUCUUCUGGAGUAAUGAUUUGCCGCAUUUGCUUCAGAAAAUGGGGCGGCGCCAGCUGUACGUGCUUCAUAAUUUUUUAAAAGCAACUCAUUGUUGUGUUUAGCAACAAGAAGGAAAGAAAUUAACUCAGACUAUUUUUUAAAUCCUUUUUCUCGAUACUGCUGCUGCAAGAGCACAUUCGAGGCAUGGAAGGUUGAGAAAGUUUUCUCUAACAUAUCAUUAUCAGUUAUCUUUUUCCCACAUAAUUUCAUUCGUGAGGUGAUCGAAACAUUGUUAAAUUAUAUUCAUUUAUGAUUUAAAAUUCUGUAGACGCAAGUACGUAUAUUCAUAUCGGGCUUGAGGAAGUAUCACUAUUUUUUUAUGAUUAUACCUUUUUUAAGGUCUUUCCACAGAUCUGUAGAAUCUUUUAGUGCGAGAUAUUCAUUUUUCAAUCUUUCGUCAAGAUGACGACGAAGGAAGAUCAUGGCUUUGGCUUUAUCCUUCCGGGAUGCAUUAUGUUCAGCCUUAAUGGUAUCUCCAAGAUCCAUUAAAUCAAGAUGAAUUUUAGCAUCUAGUAUCCAUGAUAAAUAGUUGUUUCCAGAUAUAUCAAGAGCAUUAAGAGCCCGUUUGGGAAGUAGCUUUUUUUACUUUUGAAUUAUGAAAAGUCACAAUACGCUGUUUGACACCAUUUUAAAAAAAAGCUUUUAACUUUCUGAAAAGUUAAUUCACAGCUUUUUGAAGAAGUAGAAAUAUAUGACUUCUCCUUCUAGAUAAGUCAUUCUAUCACUUCCGUAAAAAAAAUUGACUUCAAAACAAAAAAGAUCUACUUUUAUUCUUGGCUCUGUAAAAAAUAUUUUCUGCUUCUAUUGAAAAUACUGGCCCUCUACCACCAUUUUUACGCAAGGUUCCAUCUGCUAGAAGUACUGGCCUUCCACUAUCAUGUUCACGUAAUGUAGCAUCUCCUAGAAGUAUUGGCCCUCCACCAUCAUUUUCACGUAAUGAUUCAUCUUCAAAGUAUUGACCCUCCAUGUAAGACUCAGAACUUUUGAAAAGGAUUAUUAUAAACUAAUUUCAAAUUCAAUUAUUUUUGUAGCUUUAAUUUUAGAAAUUUCUUUAUUAAAGAUAAUUAAAGCAAGUUUUAAUUAAUUGAAUUUGAAAUAAAUUAAGAUUCUUAUCCAAUUUUAUAAUUAUUGAAUUAUUUUCUAUAUUGAAAUUUUAAAAUUGGUAGUUAUGAAAUAAUAAGAAUUUUAUAUGAUUUAAUUUAAAUAAUUGAUAUUUUUAUAAUUCAAUACUUUAAGUUUUAGAAAUAAAGGAAAUUAAUCUUAUUAUCUUAUAAUUUCAAUUAAAGUAUUCGAUUUUAAAUUAAUUAGUAUUUUGAUCUUUCCUGGUGAUACAAAUCUUUAUAAAAUUCUCUUUUAACCUUACGCUACCUUCCUACUCACGUAUCUUCUUCGUCCGAGCUCCGAUCGCCGCACCGUUUGCGGCCACGCGACCACCGCAUCGAGCUUUACGUUUCUACUAAAAAAAUUCAAUAGGUAAGUCAUUAAUCACUCUCAGCCACUCCUUUCCUCCAAUUUUUGAAAUAUUGUAGGGGUGUUGAAUUUCUUUACCUUUUGAUAUUUUAUGAUCCAAUUAGCUUGAGAAAAAUGUUUACUCUUGCUUAUGUGAAGCUUGGGUAAGGUGAAGAUACCAUAAUUCUAUUUUAAUUUUACUGAAUUUGAGUUUUGGGUAUUAAAUUGGGUAUAUAUGUGUUAUGAAUGUGUAUUAGGUCGUGAAUAAAUAAUUGAAGCUUGAAAUUGUGGAUAUUGGAACUUGGAGGAAGCUAAACACUAGAGUUUUGUUGAGGUUUUGGGGCUGUGUUGAUUUUAAUAAAUUGCCUUGAUAAUUAUGAGAAAAACCGGCCAAGGUAUGGUUUAGGUUUCGUGCAUUUAAUAUGUAAUGUUCUGUGAAAACUUAGGUUAGAUGACCAUAGGAUAAACUGGAAUGCAGGUGUAUAUUUAAUGUUUAGUAACUUGAUGAUGAACAUGUUUGGUUUGGUUUGGUGAUUUGAUUAUGUGGUGGAGAUUGUUACUAUAUUGUUGUUAGAAGUAAACAUGGUUGAAUUAUUGAUUAUGUGAUUACAAGUAUGUUGAAGGAAAGCAUGAUGGAGUUGUUAAAAUAUGAAAUUGUGUAAUAUUAUUGAAUGGUGGUUGAUAAAAUGAUGUAGAGUUUUAUUGAGUUCUUUUGUUGGCAUGUUGUGUUGGUGUUGAUAGGUUUGGUAAUGAAUGGAUUGGAGAUUUUGAAUGAAAAUAAGGUUUGAAGAGUUUGCAAAAGUUGGUUUUUGACCGAACUUCGGAAAGGCAUAACCUGGAUUUCGGACCCUCAAUUUACUUCCAACUUGUUUUAAAGUGAAAAUUAGAUUCACGAAGUUUAUGCCAUUCGAAGAACGGGUGAAAAAUAUUUUAAAUCGAAGAAGUUAUGGGUGUUGGAAGAUUAUAACCAAAAACUGCUUUCUUUUAAUUUUGCAGCUUUGCUACUGAAUCUGAUUUUUUUUUAAGAAACGUAUGUCCACGCGUACGCAUGGCCUAUGCGUACGCGUGGCAUGGAAUUUUGGCGAUGCCUACGCAACUGGUCCUAUGCGUACGCGUGACGUGAAAUUUUCACCUACGCGUACGCAUGACAAAGGGACGCGUGCGCGAGCUACAUUUUUACACUCCUACGCGUACGCGUGAGCCACGCGUACGCGUGGCCCCUGUUCCAGCAAACAUAAUUUUUGAGUUUUAAACCCUAUUUUAAAUUUCUAAACCUCUAUUUUCAUUCAUUUAGUUACAAAUAAUAGUGUUAAACCUUAUAAUCAGAUAAAGUUAGGAAAAUGGGAUAACUUGGAGGUGAAGUAAAGCUAAAAAGUGAUGAAUUGAUUAUGAAAUUUUACGGAUGAUCAUGUAUGAUACUUGGCUUGUUAAUCAAAUGAGUGGUCAUGUAUAAUACUUGGCUUGAAUGAUUAAAUGAUCUGAGAUACGAGAUUCCCUGGAUAAAGUACCGUGGCUUGCCACCACGUGUACCAGGUUGAAAACUCGAGACUCUGUUGACCCUACGAUAUAAGGGUGAUCGGGCACUUAUAAAUUCCCGGGAACGGUACCCCCAUUGAGCGAUUUGAUAUAUAUAUAUGAGUAAAAGCUAUGCAUAGAAUUAUGGGGAUGCACGUCGGGGGACAGUCCAAUGGUUUAGCAAACUGGACUUGUCGGGUUGGCUUGAUAACCGACAGAUGAGACUCUCAGCCAUAGAACAGGCAUGCAUCAUGUGCAUACUACUUGGAUUACUUGUUUGUGCAUUAACUAGGUGUGCCUAAGUGUACUUGCCAUGUUAAAUGUAUAUUUGUUACCUACAGUACUUGCAACCUUCUUGUGCUUGGCUUUAUCUAUUUAUUUGUUUAUGAAAGGCUGACGGAGAUGGAGGUAUGGAGGAAUAGCAGUGUGGGACUUAGAUUUAAUGUUAAGUUAAGUUAGGCCCAGAUACUCUUAGAACACCACCUAUUAUAGUUUCUGUCUAAUACUCUAAGCUUUAUAAUCUGAGUGUCGGCGUUCUAGGAUUGUCUCUGGCAUUCCCAGGACCUUAUAUAUUAUAUGCGUGGCACCUUUACCAUGCUGAGAACCUAUGGUUCUCACCCCAUACUUUGUUGUUGUUUUCAGAUGCAGGUCGAGAGGCACCUCGCUAGGCGUUUGGAUUUCCGAAGCGGAGUAGUCCCUGGGUUAUUUUGACUAUCAGUUUGUAUAUAUAUACUUAGCUUUCUCUCCAAGAAACUUGAUUAUUUUGUUCCUCAUAGAAGUUAAAGGAGAGUUAGGAUCUUAUUUCUGUAUUUUAGAUAUUUUGGAAUACUUGUAUAUGUAUGUAAAUAUUCUCCAGCCAGCCUUGGUUUCGCAGGCUGAGUCAGGAGUUAGAUAUGCUGUAUUCUUGGCUCUCUACUCACUCUUUCGCUUAUUCAUAUCCAUGAUCUAUAGGUUUCUUCACACACAAGUUAUUCCGUUUCUGGAGCGUUGUGCUUUUUAUUUCGCGAUUUUGUUUUACCCAUUUUUCAAAACUCCUAGUUUAUUAUAUUCUUUCUGCUAUUAUAUAAAUGUAUUUUAAUUUUAGAAGUCGUAGCGCCUCACCACCUCUGUUUUACAUCCUAGGUGUAAAACUCUAUGUGGUAGGGUGUUACAGCUUUGCCAACCUCCUCUUUUGAGCUAGCGCUUUAUUCUGUUCUUAUAAAAUCACCAUUAUAUCGUCGUCUUCGUUGUACUGCACUGCUCCAUAUUCAACUGCUAGUUUCCAUGCCCUUUUAUUUUUGAGCAUCUGCUCUUCUCUUUCCUAGCCGACCCCACUUAGUGGGACAAGACUUUGUUGUUGUUGUUGUUGUAUCUGCUCUUCUCUUUCCAGGGCCUUUCCACCACUGAUGAUCCCCUGUUGUCCAGUGCCAAUAUCCACGCUAGCCCUAGUCUUGCCACUGCCCUCAUCACCCUGUUGUCCAGUGCGAAUAUCCACGGCCGCCCUAUUCUCACCACUGCUCUCAUCAAGCCUUGCAACAACCAAAGUCAUACCGUCCUCUAGUGCAUCUUCAUCGUUUUCAAGGAUCCCAUCCCAGAAGCCUACGACAUCCUUACCCGGCAUUGAACCAGUCUCUUUGGUAUCUUCUUCAAAUCCAUCUUCCCUGGAGGGACCAAGUCCUGUCAUCGCCGGCGAUGAGUUCUCUGAAGACAUAGGAAGGCGGCCUGUUGGCUCCAUUUCGGCCGCGUGGUUCCUCACCACAAAACCUGCGGUGCCGCGAUCAACCCAGGUUCUCCUCUUCGAUAUGGUCAUUAGCAACUGUACACAACCCAGCAGCAUUUGGAGUGCACCCAGCCGGAUGGAACCCAACCCGACCCAGACGCAUGAGCACGCCUUUAUUUUUUUUUUGGUCGAUGGAUUAGACAACCCCCAAUCCUAGGUUACACAACACACACCCACUCACACACCCAUUAAAGGUUCUAUCACUACCCAGCUAUAGCUAGGAUUCGAACCUGCGAUGUGGCUUCUGUGAGGGCAACAUAUUGGCCAUUGGUGCAAUGCCUCGGCCACCAUGAGCACGCCUUCUGUUUCCUCAUCAGCGUGAUAUGGGCCUGAGUUUGAUGAGAAGCAGCCCAUUCUCCCUCCUUUAGCACAUGUGCCAAACGCUUUCUUUUUGGGCCAACAAUUAAGCCUGUUUUGGUUAGGUUUUUUCCUCCAAAAACACCAUUUAUUCAGUCCAUCAGUAACAUAAUCCCAAUUAACCGUUUUCUCUGAUUUAACAUCAUUAACCAAAUUAUAAUAUCCCUUAAAAUUAGCAAUUCCCUCAACAACAGCAUCCGUUGCCUUUGGAGUUUGAUUGUUUAAAUGUGAAUUAAUUUGCAAUAACUCCAUUUAUUCAAAAUGUUUUAAGGAAUUACCAAUCUAUCUCUAUCAAUUUCUUCCUCCCUUGGUAUUGCCAUCACCAUCUCAACCACCGAAUCUCUGCUUAUCACUGGCACUAUCGAGCUAAACUGCUUGCACCCAAAGUCUCGCAUACUUUUGGGGGACAAGGUUUACCUACAUUCUCAAGUUUACACUGCGAUCCAUAACUCUUUAACUAGGACGUCGAAUUCACUAGUACCAAUUGUGAUGUGAAUCCACUCAUUGAUUAUGUAUUAAAUGUCACAUUUUUAAAAGUCUGAAUGAUUUUUCUUAUAUUGAAAAUUUUUUUUCGAAAUUCUUAUCUUAAUAUGAAAUAUAAUAGGUAAAGACCAUAUAUAUUUGAUAUAUAUCAAUGAUCUUAGCAACACCAAGUGUUUACAUAGAAAAUUUAUUAUUCUUACAUUUAUUAUGGUAGUAAACUAGUAAUACAUAAAACACUAAUUUAUUAUUAGUCAACUAAUAAAUUUUGAACCAAUAAUUAGAUAUGGCCGUAAUUAUCUGAAGAACUUUGAAUAUAUCAUCAGUGAAUUGCGGAAGCGGUGAUGGAUCCUUGAAAUCAGUAGUGAAAUGGUGAGAAGAUGUUGAUGAUUGAUCUUGUCCAUAAGACAUACAUUCAUCAUUGUCCGCUACAAGAUCAUUUAAAUGAAAACUCACAUCAUUAUAAUCUUUUGCCUUCAAACUUUUUUGCAUGGGGUCAAUUUCAGCAAGUGCACCAUCCUGACCAGUGAAUUCUUUUAAGCAAAAAUUGUAGAGUUCUUUUGCCUUAGGAUCAGUGGCUUUUGCAAUCAAAGAGUUGAGAAGGUUUACUGUGUUUUUAAGCUUUGAACGAAGCACUUCAAUUGUGUAGUGUGCUAAGGAAUCAACGUCUGCUCUUGCUGCACCACCGGGUAUUGAGUUUAGAAGAUUUGAACAAUAUGCAACAAUUUUAGUUUGGUUGCAAAUUUCUUCUA
rnacentral:lncRNA from 1 species